rnacentral:rRNA from 1 species
UGGGGAAUAUUCCGCAAUGGACGAAAGUCUGACGGAGCAACGCCGCGUGAGUGAUGAAGGUUUUCGGACUGUAAAGCUCUGUUGUUUAGGACGAAAGUGCCUGUUGCGAACAGUUACAGGUAUUGACGGUACUAAACGAGGAAGCCACGGCUAACUACGUGCCAGCAGCCGCGGUAAUACGUAGGUGGCAAGCGUUGUCCGGAAUUAUUGGGCGUAAAGAGCAUGUAGGCGGAGAUUUAAGUCUGUUGUGAAAAUGCGAGGCUCAACCCCGUAUUGCGAUGGAAACUGAAUUUCUUGAGUGCAGGAGAGGGAAGGGGAAUUCCCAGUGUAGCGGUGCAAUGCGUAGAUAUUGGGAGGAACACCAGUGGCGAAGGCGCCUUUCUGGACUGUGUCUGACGCUGAGAUGCGAAAGCCAGGGUAGCGAACGG